AUAAACAUUCUUUAUGUGCAAUAGGUAAUACGAGCGAUCCUUGGGUGACCGAGACGGCAGCGGAUCCUUCACUUUGAGAGAAGCCAUUUCUGACAAUAAGUCCACCGGUUUCACCAUCAACUCAACGCACACAGCACGAAGCAACCCUCGUAUCAUCUUCUUCUCUCCUCCUCUUCGACGAAAAAUGGUCUUUCUCUCAGUUUGAACCACACAGUCCAGUAAAAUGUCAUGAGAAUCACGCAAAUCUAUUAAGGCAGAUUACGCAGCGAGAUAGGAAGGGAACAGAAUCAAAGAGAUUGGUUGGUUUAGCCACAAGAAUUACAUUUCAAAUGAUGAAUAUGCAGUCUGAAAUGCAAUCUGCUGGUGGCAAUGAGAAGGGCACUUUGUUAUGGAUAUUGCAGCUCAUGGAAACUUUUUGCUUUGAUGAUAGCAUUUUGGAGCACUGACUGCGAGUUGUAUUUAUUGUGCAUACUUCAUUCCUUCCCUUUGAGCUUUUUGAUAUAGAAGAGGGAGCAAAUCAUUGGCAGUUGAUAUUUUUUGGCUUUGAUGAUAUUCUUAACUUGAUUCUAUAUGGUAUGAAAAUAGCAGGAAUGCGCAUAUCAAUUUGGCUUAAACAGAAAUGUCAUUGUAUAUCACAGCUGGGUAUAGUGCACAGAUGGAUAUACUCUUUUGGGGAUAUGUUCUUGGAAACAAAGGAUCACGAAGCCGACACCAACUAAUUUGGGACUAAAACUUAGUUGUUGUUAUUCUCGGAGGAUGAGUUUGAUAACUACCAUCUAUAAGAGUGAUGUAAAACCUCUAUAUAUUUUGGCAAUAAUAAUUACAAUAUUAUGUUUCUUCCA